UAUGUUCGGAAAAGAUAACCGCUGAAAGCAUCUAAGCGGGAAACUUGCCUCAAGAUGAGAUCUCACUGGGAACUUGAUUCCCCUGAAGGGCCGUCGAAGACUACGACGUUGAUAGGCUGGGUGUGUAAGCGUUGUGAGGCGUUGAGCUAACCAGUACUAAUUGCCCGUGAGGCUUGACCAUAUAACACCCAAACA
rnacentral:rRNA from 1 species